AUUGAACGCUGGCGGAAUGCUUUACACAUGCAAGUCGAACGGCAGCACGGACUUCGGUCUGGUGGCGAGUGGCGAACGGGUGAGUAAUAUAUCGGAACGUGCCCAGUCGUGGGGGAUAACGUAGUGAAAAUUACGCUAAUACCGCAUACGAUCUAUGGAUGAAAGCGGGGGAUCGCAAGACCUCGCGCGAUUGGAGCGGCCGAUAUCAGAUUAGGUAGUUGGUGAGGUAAAGGCUCACCAAGCCAACGAUCUGUAGCUGGUCUGAGAGGAGACCCAGACACCAUGGAAUAGGGACCCGGCCAAGCUCCUUACGGGGGCCAGCAGGGUGGAUUUUUGGACAAUGGACGCAAGUCUUUUCCGCCCUUUCCGCGUGCAGGAGAAGGCCCUUCGGUUUGAAACCUUUUUUUGUACAGAAGGAAAAGGUUUCUAUUAAUACUGGGGGCUCAUGACGGUACUGUAAGAAUAAGCCCCGGCUAACUACGUCCCACCCGCCGCCGUAA
rnacentral:rRNA from 1 species